CUCAGCGCGCGCCCUCCUUCACCUUAUCCGCCGCCACGUCCUGAGCCGCCCAUCUAUGCCGCCGCCGCAGCCGCCGGGCUGGCUCCUCCUCCACCCCUGCGCCCCGUCCCAAUCUCCACAGCCUCCAGCGACCAACUCCAUCUCCUGCCUCCUGCAACUGGUCCUGCCAGUGCGCCGCGUCCGCCGCCGGUGAAUACCCUCCGCAAGGACUGCCCCUAGCCCCUCUGCUCCGGCGCUCCUCGGCCGUCCCCGGCCCUUUGCCUGGUCGCCAGGGACGUGCUGCUCCACGCCUGCUCCAGCCGGGGGCUGCCACCCGCCGCGCCGGCUCUUUGCUCCGGCCAAUCCCGGGCUGCUCGCCUGCUCUGCCGGACUCUGCCGCCCAGGACUUGCUGUCAACAAACAGCAAGCAGGCUGGGACAGGGAAAUAGAAGAGGAAGACAUAUUUCAUUGGAAGUUUCAACACCCGGUGUUUCAGUCGGACUGAAUCAACUCCACAAAUUGGAACAACCAUAGAUCGGACCACUGUCUUUGGCUUCAAACAACCCGCCUUCAAUCUCAACUCGAGCAUACUGAUGAUAUAUUCUUAAUGAAGUCUACUAAAGGUAGUUUUCACCAUAUUUUUGAAGCAGACCCAUAUGCUAGGAUGGACUGAACUGAACUAAGCUUUGCCUUUGACUUUGUGAUCAUUUUCUGGUUGUCCCGGUGAACAUAGAGACACUUAAAAUGUUUUAAUUGGAUUCUGGUGCAAGCUCGCUGCCUUGCUCCUCACCGAGAGACAUACCAUUUGUCCAAAAGUAUCAAGCAUUGGAUGUAAAGUGGACAACCUAUUCGGUACUGAAACAAUAUAUGUAGCAUGUAUGAAGCUGAAUCAUGCUUAUAACACUGAAGAACACAGUAACUUCAAUAAUGCAAGUUUUCCAAAGCGAUGGACCAACUAUUACAGAAAAGGUAAGAGCUUUGGCUGCAAAACACAAUAGAUACGGGGUGCGCUAUAGUGGCUAUGUCAUCAACAGCUUCAGGUUCCACACGAUGAGUCAUGAGUCAGGGCAUGUCACACAAAAUAGUGGUGUGGUGAACAUUGCAGAAAAUGGUGUUAGAUAUUAUGGCAGAUUAAGUGACAUCUUUGAAUUUUCAUACAAUGAUUACAAGGUGGUGUUCUUUAAUUGUGAUUGGUAUGAUGUCUACCAUAAAGUUGGCAUACAAACGGAUGAGUUUGGGUUCACUCUUGUGAACAAGUCUGGGAAAAUACACACAGGAGAUGAGCUAGAGGAUGAUCCUUUUGUAUUUUCCUCCCAAGUGCAGCAGGUUUUCUAUGUUCAAGAUCCAAAAGCUGAACUAUGGAAUGUAGUAGUGGAAGUCAGGCCUCGUGAUCUUUUUGACAUGGGUGUUGAAGAAUCAUCGGAUGAAACAGAUUAGAGCAUUGUGAUUUUGGUUCAGGCUGAAGUAUGGUGGCAGCUCUUUGCUCGUGUGGUUCUUUGCAUACAACUACAAUUUUAGUUAUGGUUUCAGUAGUGGUUUACGAGCACAAAGUCAGAAUGCUUUAUUAUAGUUUAUGGUUGUAUGUUUUCGUACUAAUUCAGGGCACAGCCCAAGUAUACUUGGUUGUUAAUUGCAGGUUGAUUUUGCAGAAUUUCUGUUCUGGAAAGUGAAGUAUCACCUUUGGUUUAUUGAUUAUUCCCACAUGUUACAGUUA